CAACUAGUGGCGUAGGGACAACGCGCCCUAACUAGAGAUCAGGUAGUCGUGAGUUCGAUUCUCACCGAGAAGA
rnacentral:tRNA from 1 species